AACGAACGCUGGCGGCAGGCCUAACACAUGCAAGUCGAACGCUCCGCAAGGGGAGUGGCGCACGGGUGAGUAACACGUGGGAACCUACCUUCUGGUACGGAACAACCAAGGGAAACUUUGGUCUAAGACCGUAUACGACCUCCGGGUGGAAAGAUUGAUCGCCGGAAGAGGGGCCCGCGUCCGAUUAGGUAGUUGGUGAGGUAACGGCUCACCAAGCCUUCGAUCGGUAGCUGGUCUGAGAGGAUGACCAGCCACACUGGGACUGAGACACGGCCCACGACUCCUACGGGAGGC
rnacentral:rRNA from 1 species